rnacentral:misc_RNA from 1 species
GAUGAAGAACGCAGCGAAAUGCGAUAAGUAAUGUGAAUUGCAGAAUUCAGUGAAUCAUCGAAUCUUUGAACGCACAUUGCGCCCGCCAGUAUUCUGGCGGGCAUGCCUGUUCGAGCGUCAUUUCAACCCUCAAGACCCCUUCGGGGGACUUGGUGUUGGGGACCGGCACAGGGGCCUGCCUGCUUGUCUUGCAGCGCCCUCGCCGCCCCCGAAAUGAAUUGGCGGCCUCGUCGCGGCCUCCCCUGCGUAGUAGCACAAACCUCGCAACGGGAACGUGACGGCGGCCACUGCCGUAAAACAACCCAAUUUUAUUAGAGUUGACCUCGAAUCAGGUAGGAAUACUCGCUGAACUUAAGCAUAUCAAUAAGCGGAGGA